ensembl:lncRNA
GGCCUAUUUGUUUGCGUUGUCUGUUGGCAUCUGGGUGUGUCGUGAUUAUGAGUCACUUCCAGACGCACGCUACUCUAGCUCGCUGGUGACGCAGCACGUCAUGUGAGUGGGGAAUGUGUAUGGUUACAGGUUGAGCAGCUUAUUAGGAGAUAUUAUGAAGAACUAAAGCUCUCUCUUUGUGGCCAGAUGUGUUCUGUAAUACUAUUGGCCAGUAAAAGAAUGCGCCCGUACAAGGAAUAGCAGGUUCUGUAUAUGAAUGACAUUUGAUCAUUUCCUGUUACUGGGAAACCCAACUGUAAAUGUCAGUCACAAGUGGGGGGGAUGACUGUUGUACGUUCAAUGUGAACUGCUUUAAAACUGGAUAGUGAAAAAGUAGUCAAUAGAACAAGAUUUUUUCAAUAUGUACGGGAAAGGGCAUUGUUAACCGAUUCUGUGAAGGAAAAAGAAAAGAAAAACGAGGAACAACGGGAAUUGCAAAUUUGUUCUUUAUUUGGUGCGACCCACUCAACAUUCAGCUACCUGACAAUGCAACCUACAAUCAUGAAUAGAGUCCACUGUUCCGGCCAAGUGAAGGAAGUGUGCGCAGUACCAUCACAGCAGGGAAGCCCAUCAUGUGAAGUCAAUGUGCUUUCUGACCUAUGGAGAGGGACACUCUCCAGGCCUCGGUGCACUAUUUCUGCUUGGAACUGGGUCAGAAUAUGGCAUUUCUGUGCAAUUACAUUUUUUUAAUGAGAGAUUCUGCAUAUUAACUUUUUUUGAGGUCCCACCCAUGGCACCAGGGGGGUGUUUGUUGGACAAAUCAGUUCUUCCAUCCACACCCCUGAGUGCUAAAUAUAUAAGAACAGCCCCCCGAGCCCACUGGCAGCUGAGAGGCCCACUCACACUCUGGAGCAGUAGGAAGGGACAGGUGGAUGGGGUAAUAUGGAGCAGUGGGCGGGUCCUGCUGUUUGGGUCUCACAAAUUGACCAGAAACUGGAGGAGAUGCUGCAGAUGCUGGCGGAGCAGUUUAAAGGCAAGCCCGAGCUGCUGCGGGGACCGGCGCACUGCAGCUCCCGCGUCACCGUCAUGAAGCGCAUGGGCCUCAGCAUGGACGAAGGCCAGUGACCCCAGCACCCUCCCUCGGCCGGGAACAGCCUUGACCGCCCGCUUCACCUUGGGCACAGACUGUAUGUGGAGGAAGGAGUGUAACAUCCUUUCCUCUCUAGCAGAACUCCCUUCCUUGCCCCAUUAUUAUCACUGUCAACAGCCACCGACCGCAAGGAAAAAAGUUAGCAUGCUACCAUGCUCCUGCACGUCUGGAGAUGAGCUGGUGAUGGGAACAGACAGAGGGCAAAACUAUCGUGUCAUAUUAAACAGUCAAAUGUUAAGGAAGAGAGAAUUUUCUUUCCUCCCUUCAUUCACUGUGGCUUCUUUAUGCCAUUUUAAUGCAAUGUUUUUGUCUAGAAAAACCAAACACAGUCUUACGCUUUCUCUUUUCUUUUUCAACGGCUUCCGAGGAGGUCCGAGUCUGCCAGAGCGUGGUCGCUGACCCGGCCUUUAUAUUCUACUGAUUGUUUUGGCUCGGCUGGUCCAAAGAAACACAGUGCAGUAAUGGCCGCAGUCCCACCGUCCAAUCCCAGAGUGUUUGUUGCCACAGCUCAGGUGACAUGGGGAUAGAGCAGCAGAACCAGGCCUGAAAAUGCAAGGGGGGGGAAAUGGUCUUGUCCUGAUAUAUGGCUAUGAUUAAGCUAAUAAAAAUAACAUGACAGCCAUGACAGUGUUUCAUGGAUGAUUGCAGGAGUAGCCAAAAAAAAAAAAAAAAAAAAAAAAAAAAAAAAAAAAAACUUAUGGUUAUUGUGCACUUUUGCCCAGUGCAAAAUGCCAAGAUUUUCACAAGAAUAUAGCUAAAUUACUCUUAUUAACCAUACCAGGUCCAAGCAAUUUGGAACAAAUUUGCGCCAUUAAACUGUUUAAAACAGUGGCCCGAGCAAUGAAAAGAACAGUUUUGGAGAGGAAAAAAAAACAACAAAAAAAAAACUGUGUAGCGUUUAAAAAGCAGGCCUGGAGAUCACCUCCCAUUUUUCUGGAAAAGUAUCAGGGCCCCGAGGAGAGAACCAUUGACUGUGCGCGUUCGGCCCCCACAACUCUUUAUUUUCAUUCAACGUGUUUAUCUGUUGGUACUCGGCCAGUAGAGAGCAGUUGCUACAAUGUGUAUUUAAGUCUUACCAUAAUUACGGUGUGCCCGUCUGAGAACCGACCACUGACAGAGCGGGGAAUGGUUUGAUGAAGAGAAAGAAAUGGCCCUCCUCGCCAUUUCCCCUCUUUCUUUUUCGCUGCGGCCGAUCCUCAAGGUUAGGCAUGCUUUCUUUUCCGAGAAGCGUAGUCGAUAUGAAAUCUGUGAGCAAUAGACAUUGAAUAUUCCUGUACAGUUUUGUAAGCAAUGUAAAUAGAAUUGCCUUAUAUUUAUUGUACCGUAUGGGGGAAAAAAGAAACAAAAAAAAAAAAAACGUACGUUUAUUACAUUGUACACGAAAAGAAAUUAAACAAAAUGUUAAAUGACAUUAAGUUUAGUUAUUUUUAUUUUUUUUUGCUGUCAUUUUAUUUCAUAGCCAUCCUGUCUUUAGCCUCUCGACAGAAAUUAGAUUUUUAGUCUGAACAAGUAUCUCCAUAAACCAUGGCAUGAGCAGCCCAGAACCGUUUUUUUUUUUUUUUUUAAAGCUUUCGAGAUUUCUCCACUCUGUGCCAAAAAUUUUGAAAGAUAUUUCACCCAGUCUACUUUGAACCGUAUUCCAUAAAUGAGCUAAAACAAAAAAAAAAAAAAAAAAAAAAAGAGGGGGGAGGGGGAAGAGAAUAAGUCUCAAAUUACCACUCAAUUAUGCCGGCCUUCAAAGGCCAAAAAAUACGGUGGGUGUCCCAAGAACAACACGGCCGGAGCGAGAGCGAGGUCCCGUGGGAGGGGGAUGGCGAGAGAGGAGGCUCGCCGCGGAGCCAUGUUCAAUUACAGAGGGCCAGGCUGCACACACAUGAUGUUAUUCUGCUUUUGUCCUCUCCUCUGUUUUAUGUCACCAGCCGAGGACCUUGAGAGGGAAGCAUGGCCCGCUGUUUACAGAGGCAGCUCUAUGCGACCGAGACACUGCGCCGCUUUCAUGUGGAGACUUGAGAGAGGCUCUUUACUUCAAAAGCUUUUUUGAUGUCGCAGCUCUGGAUCAAACCUAGCGGGGAAAGCGCUCUUUUGACAAACUACCC